AUUGAACGCUGGCGGAAUGCUUUACACAUGCAAGUCGAACGGUAGAGGGGCAACCCUUGAGAGUGGCGAACGGGUGAGUAAUGUAUCGGAACAUGCCCAGUCGUGGGGGAUAACGUAGCGAAAGUUACGCUAAUACCGCAUACGAUCUAUGGAUGAAAGCGGGGGAUCGCAAGACCUCGCGCGAUUGGAGUGGCCGAUAUCAGAUUAGGUAGUUGGUGGGGUAAAGGCCUACCAAGCCGACGAUCUGUAGCUGGUCUGAGAGGACGACCAGCCACACUGGGACUGAGACACGGCCCAGACUCCUACGGGAGGCAGCAGUGGGGAAUUUUGGACAAUGGGCGCAAGCCUGAUCCAGCCAUUCCGCGUGAAGGAAGAAGGCCUUCGGGUUGUAAACUGCUUUUGUACGGAACGAAACGCGCUGAGCUAAUACCUCGGCGUAAUGACGGUACCGUAAGAAUAAGCACCGGCUAACUACGUGCCAGCAGCCGCCGUAACAC
rnacentral:rRNA from 1 species